GAAUCUCUGUGUUCUUCAGUCCUUUUAACUUCUUGUCUUCUAUGCCUGCUUAUAACACCAACAUUUCCAUCUUUAUAUUUUUUCCUUUCCUGAAAAUCCUGUUAAUAGCUGACUUCACCACCACCACGAUGUUUGCUGUCAACUGGGGAAGCAUUUGUGUCCCAUUUUGGAUGAGCAGUGGCAUUCACGGUCGCAGAUCUCCCACUGAACCAGCCAAUGUCAGGGAGAGAAGAAUAAAAGCAAAGACAUUCAAGUCAUUUUGUGAACUUGUUAAAGGUACAGAUUUGUUUCAAAAGAAUCAUAUUAAAAUUGGAAUGGACACAUUUAUUAGUCAGCCCCUGCUACACCCUAGGUACAUUAAUGCUGUCAGUGACAGCAAGAAAAUUGUCCAAUAAAGGGAGAGAACUUAAAAUCUGAAAAGCCACUAUCAAUGAAACACCAAAUGAUGCAAAGGAGGAGUGGUGCACUGAAUUUGAGGAUAGCCCUCAGUCAAUUGUGUCUUUGUCUGGAAGUGGCAAACUAUGGCCCAUGGGACAAAUCUAGCCUCCCACCUAUUUCUGUGAAUAAAAUUUUAUUGGAAA